CGCCACAACGGCUUCCUGGCGUGGCGCGGAAACCCAAUGGAGCA
rnacentral:ncRNA from 1 species